UGCUCCAAAAGCAGGGGACAAUUUGUGGAUGUAAGAGACUAUUUCCAAGGGUUCCGUCUUCUAAAUAAGAGAAAACCCAGAUGCCAGACAGCCUCCCGACAGCAGAAGGCGCGUGUCACCAUCGCUAUGUGGACUGAUGCAGUCAAAGCCCUGCAAGAUGACCUGGCAUGUGUCAGGCACAGCAGAGGGAGAGGAACUUCAGAGUUCACACUCCUGGCUCCUGAGAAGACCUUGCGUGUAUGAACUCAGGUCCCAGACGCCUCAGGACUCUCCGGGUAAAUCAGAAAUAACACCACCAACCAACCACACAGAUCAUAAAGGCAACUCAAGAGUUUUGGCUUCUGGAACAAGAAUAAAAGAUCUUCUACCAAAUAUUGAGUUCCUCGGAAAGAAUCCUUUAAGACAAUUUUGUGUUGGUGAAAAGUGUCACAUCAGCAGCCGCAAAGUCUGAGUUUCUGUUUACUCAUCUAGCAGGUAAAGAUUCACCAUGCUAUACAAACAUCCCACCUACUUAGAAGACUAGGAUAGUAUAAAUUCUGCAUAAAAAGAUUUCCACUUUGGAGGAGUCUUGAAAUCCUAUAAACAGAAAUAUAAGCACCAUAAUUUUCUAAAUGUUAAGAGGUAAAGGCUCCCCACACACUAAUUAAUCCAAUUAUGUGUCUGUGACUUCAAACUUAAAAAGGCAAUGACUUCACUUCAAGGGUGAACUAUUUUUGGAUCCUCCAGUCUCCUUCCCGUGAAUAAUACUUUGGUUGAACCAACACAUCUCUCUGAGAGUGACACGAGUCUUCCUGCUUAGACAAGCAGGUCAGCAGUUAACUUCCUUCUAGUGCUUUCCUGAGAAGGCAGGUCCUAACACAUCCUUUCAAGAUGGUAACCCCAGUACCCUAGAACUUCUCCCUAAUUAUUACACUCCGUGAGAUAAAAGAGCUGUGUGUGGACAAUUUCUCCCAAAGAAGCCAAAAGAAAGAGAAAGGUGUGGUUACAAAGUCCCUUAAAAGAAAGACCUAAUGGUCUUUGGGAGUGACCAUUUUCCGUGCUCCCUUUUAAUAUCAAGCCUUAAAGCCAACCACACUGAAAAAAUUUUCAAUCUAUCUUGAGGUGAUUUAAUUCAAUAGUUUGUACCAAGUGACAAAAAGGAAAUAACAGACAUCUCUUCAGAGAAAAAAAAAAGAAGCCAUACUUUUAAAUAUGAAUUUUCCUUUUUACCCCCAUUCUUUGUUAAUGGACUUUAACUUGACUCAAGGCUAGGAAGGGUUUGGCAAGAUCAGUUUCAUCAGUGUGAACAGCUAUCUUGCACUCCUAAAGUGGUUUUUUUCUGAAAUUAAGCAUAGAGUUAAAUCAUCAAAAGUUGUUAGUGUAUAUUUCACAUCAUGUUUUUCCCCAUUUCUCCAAGAAGAAAAAAUCCUUUGUAAUUCUCCCACGUAGAAUAAGUGGCAACGUAUUAUUUGAUUUCAGUAAAUUCAUUAAAAGGGGAAAAUUAAAGAUAAAAAAUACAGAUCAAGUAAUUAAAAUAUUUAGUAACACUCUGAAUAAAAUGAAGGCAAGUUUACAUUUAAGUUUAGAUUUCUUCUUACCUAUACCUGUUGAAGUAAAUCCUCUGAAGCAAAAAAAAAGCACAUGGACUGUGCUAAGCUAUAUUUAUUUUCUGAGUGGGUUUUAGAGAGAAUUGGGAAAAUUCCAUUUGACUGAAUCAUAAAUAGAGCUAACAAAUUAGUCAGAAGUUUCCCAAGUUAAUAAAAAAUUCUGUAAAAAAAUAUUUAAUUUAAUAAAAUUUUUAAGCAUGUAAGACAAAUCCCUGCAAGGGCACUAUUGCAAAAUAUAUGUUGAACUGAAAUAAUAAUCAUAACAAGAUGAUGGGAUGGAAAUGAUCUUUCUUUCCAUGAUAUUAGGCCAGAUCCUGUCAGAUGGUCAACUGAUAUUUUGCAGGCAAAAAGAAGGCACACUCAAGAAUAGGUCCAUCCUCUUGGGCUCCUGGGAGACAGUUGGGAAAUUGCUGUCUCUAUCAUGUGACGAUUAUAAGCUCUCUGAAAAUGGAGAUCUGCACGAAGGUGGGAAUGAGCAAGCGAAGGUCCUAAAACCCAGAAAGGCCUGGCCUGACUGUGAAAGGGUCGUGCUGGUAACGCAGGGAGCACCCUUUGGUUCCUGGUGAAUGAAUGAAUGAUGUAGGAUGAGGAGAAAACAGAAACAAGCUCUUCUACCCACUUCCAUUUCCAGCACGAGCUACUAUAGAUAACAAAUCACAGCUUUGACUGUUCCUGAAUUCCAGAAAUACAUCAUCAAAGGAGUGCACAUGGACAUCGAGAACCCCGACUCUGCAUUUUAUUAUAAUUUUUGUGAAUAUUAGUCAUAAAUUUACCAGUCAGUUUGAUUCAACCCUCAAAUUGAUUAAAUAACUAUGAAGCAUACAUAAUCACAUAAAACCAAGAUCAUCAAUAGCUAGAAUUUAUCCCAAUAGAUGAGGAACAAAUUUCUAAGAAGAUUCAAAGUCUGGAUGCUACGUCACUAUGGUGACAAGACAGUACUGCAAUCAAAUGUGAUAGAAGCUCUCACACUGACCAAGCUACUCGAUCUUCUAAGGCAAAACCCCAGUAAAUUAUUAUUUAUAGGCAUUCCCAUCAUAAUUAUUCUUUUAACUUUUAAAAUUAAAUUACGUUAUUACCUUAUAGCUUUGAAGACACAUACAUGUUGCCACUAGUAUCUAUUAUGGUCAUCGCUUCAUUAGAAAGUGACCCAGUCAACAUUUGGUUCUAACCUAUUUAACUGCCUCAUCUAUUUAGUUGCCCCAUUAGGGGCUUUUAGUCCAUUACAAGAAUUAUUUAAACUAUCACUGAUUUUGGCUCAAGGAGGAACAAAAUAAGAAAUAUAAUUUAUUGUUUUGAUAGAUUCAAAAGAGUUUUGAUGUUCUAACAGGCUCAAGUUAAGACAGCAGCCAUGAGCUAAAGAAAUAAGCCAUUCAGACAUAAACAGAAGAAUAUGAGUAAUUAUCUCUGUACCUCCUAUUCUCUCAGCCUCUUGCCCUUCCCCUUGGUUGGAUAACUCUUCCUUACCCAUCAAGACUCAGGUUAAAGGCGCUUCGUCCUGAAUUAGGUCCCCUUGCUUUGUGCUCCCUCUACUCUCCCUGUCAUAACACUCAUCAUGCUUGGUUGUAAUUACAUUUUUAAUGUCCAAUCUUGCCGCUAGAUUGUAAGAUCCCUGAGGACAGGGUUCAUGCUUGUCUUUUUACCACUCUGUACCUAACACCCAGCACAGUGCCUGACCCACAGGAGGUGUGCAAUACAUGUUUGCUAAAUUGAAAUGAAAUUGAAGUUUAUUUGAUCACUACCAAUGAUUUGUAGUUGGACCGUAGUGAAACCUGUUAGUUUUACCUCCUACUAUGUGUAGGAAAUUCAUACCUAUAGGCAAAGAAUCACCUACAAAGACUUUCAGAACAGCAUUAUAAUAGAUAAGAAUAGGAGAAUGGAUAAAUAAAUUAUUCUAGGUAUAGUCAUACAAGAGGACAUUUCAAAGUCUAGAUAAAGUUAUAUUUCUGAAGUGUUUUUAUUUAAAUGACAUGGGGAAAUUCUCAUUAUAUUGUGUUAAAUAGUAAUAAAAUUAAUAUUUACGGAG
ensembl:lncRNA